rnacentral:rRNA from 1 species
GAUGAACGCUGGCGGCGUGCCUAAUACAUGCAAGUCGAACGAAGAUCUAGCUUGCUAGAUCUUAGUGGCGAACGGGUGAGUAAUACAUAAAUAAUCUGCCCAUAUGACUGGGAUAACUAUUGGAAACGAUAGCUAAUACCGGAUAGGUUGAUCGGAGGCAUCUCUGAUGAAUUAAAGUAGGAUUUCUACACAAAUGGAUGAGUUUAUGGCGCAUUAGUUAGUUGGUGGGGUAACGGCCUACCAAGACGAUGAUGCGUAGCCGACCUGAGAGGGUGACCGGCCACACUGGGAAUGAGACACGGCCCAGACUCCUACGGGAGGCAGCAGUAGUGAAUUUUCGGCAAUGGGCGCAAGCCUGACUGAGCAACGCCGCGUGAGUGAUUAAGGCCUUCGGGUUGUAAAGCUCUGUUGUAAGGGAAGAACAUUCAGGAUAGGAAAUGAUCUUGAACUGACGGUACCUUACCAGAAAGCCACGGCUAACUACGUGCCAGCAGCAGCCGCGGUAA